CAAGUCGAACGAACCUUCGGGUUAGUGGCGGACGGGUGAGUAACGCGUGAGAAUCUGCCCUCAGGAGGGGGAUAACGGCUGGAAACGGCCGCUAAUACCCCAUAUGCCGCGAGGUGAAAUGAAUUUCGCCUGAGGAUGAGCUCGCGUCUGAUUAGCUAGUUGGUGGGGUAAGAGCCUACCAAGGCAUCGAUCAGUAGCUGGUCUGAGAGGAUGAUCAGCCACACUGGGACUGAGACACGGCCCAGACUCC
rnacentral:rRNA from 1 species